rnacentral:rRNA from 1 species
UUAAAAAGCUCGUAGUUGGAUUUCUGGCGGGAGUGACCGGUCCGUCCUUUCUGGAUGUGUACUAGCUGUCGUCUCUUGCCAUCCUUGGGGAGAACGUUCCUGGCAUUAGGUUGUCGGGUUCGGGAUCCCCAUCCUUUACUGUGAAAAAAUUAGAGUGUUUAAAGCAGGCUUAUGCCGUUGAAUACAUUAGCAUGGAAUAAUAAGAUAGGACUUUGGUGGUCUAUUUUGUUGGUUUGCACGCCAAGGUAAUGAUUAAUAGGGAUGGUUGGGGGUAUCCGUAUUUCGUAGUCAGAGGUGAAAUUCUUGGAUUUACGAAAGACGAACUACUGCGAAAGCWUUUACCAAGGAUGUUUUCAUUAAUCAAGAACGAAAGUUAGGGGAUCGAAGAUGAUUAGAUACCAUUGUAGUCUUAACCAUAAACUAUGCCGACUAGGGAUUGGCGGUCGUUACUGUUAUGACUCCGUCAGCACCUUAUGAGAAAUCAAAGUCUUUAGGUUCCGGGG